GAUGAACGCUGGCGGCGUGCUUAACACAUGCAAGUCGAACGGUGAAGCAGGAGCUUGCUCCUGUGGAUCAGUGGCGAACGGGUGAGUAACACGUGAGCAAUCUGCCCUGGACUCUGGGAUAAGCGUUGGAAACGACGUCUAAUACCGGAUACGAGGCGUGGGGGCAUCCCCAACGCCUGGAAAGAACUUCGGUCCAGGAUGAGCUCGCGGCCUAUCAGCUAGUUGGUGAGGUAACGGCCCACCAAGGCGACGACGGGUAGCCGGCCCGAGAGGGUGACCGGCCACACUGGGACUGAGACACGGCCCAGACUCCUACGGGAGGCAGCAGUGGGGAAUAUUGCACAAUGGGCGCAAGCCUGAUGCAGCAACGCCGCGUGAGGGACGACGGCCUUCGGGUUGUAAACCUCUUUUAGCAGGGAAGAAGCGAAAGUGACGGUACCUGCAGAAAAAGCACCGGCUAACUACGUGCCAGCCGCCGCCGUAACAC
rnacentral:rRNA from 1 species